UGACCUGUGGAGGGGCGGAGCCGAAGGUGUCUCCGGCGGCUUCGGGGGAGAUGCAGAAGGAAUAGCACUGUGGCGCGCUCCAGAGCUGUGGCAUGCUCUUUCCGCAGGGGUCCACGACUGAUGAUUUUCAGCAGACCUGUCCUACGAGGAACGCAGGGUGCCUGAAAUAUAAUGAGGUCCAUGAAAAAACUGCAGGACUGAAGAUGAAGAUGAUCUUCCAAUACAAGAAAAACACUUUUUUAUUGAAAACAUAUGACAAACCUUUUUAUUCUUCUAACAGUUAUUUGGCCUUGAAGAAAUAUUUUAACCAUCACAAAAUGUGUUUACUAUGCUACAUUGGGAGCAAGGGAGACAUAUGAGGCCUGUCUGGAAAAAGUCUAGCCAUUGUUAAUAUAAACAAGAAUGUUUUGUGUGACAUCAGUGUAACCUGGCAGCCAAGGAGAGUGGACUGAAAUGUG